rnacentral:rRNA from 1 species
CAGCAGCCGCGGUAAUACGUAGGUCCCGAGCGUUGUCCGGAUUUAUUGGGCGUAAAGCGAGCGCAGGCGGUUAGAUAAGUCUGAAGUUAAAGGCUGUGGCUUAACCAUAGUACGCUUUGGAAACUGUUUAACUUGAGUGCAGAAGGGGAGAGUGGAAUUCCAUGUGUAGCGGUGAAAUGCGUAGAUAUAUGGAGGAACACCGGUGGCGAAAGCGGCUCUCUGGUCUGUAACUGACGCUGAGGCUCGAAAGCGUGGGGAGCAAACAGGAUUAGAUACCCCCGUAGUCCCUGUCUCUUAUACC